rnacentral:lncRNA from 1 species
CUUUUUUAAUCAUCACAGUGAGGGUGCAAGAUUUUCCAAUCUCAUGGAUAAUUCCAAAUUCAAACCCUGGCUCCUAGAGUCAAGAGUGGUAUCCAGGUUAUGGCGUCAUCACCAGAUGCUCAGGCACCCAGGCUAGAACCCUUGGAAUCAAGGACAUAACAAGAAGUCAGCAAUCUGCAAACCAGGAAAGAGCCUGCACCAGAGCCCAACAACGAUGCCACCCUGCUCUUGGACUUCCAGGCUCCAGA